UAGCAUGGGACCUGACAUAUUAGGCUGUCA
rnacentral:piRNA from 1 species